UACGAAGGGGGCUAGCGUUGUUCGGAUUUACUGGGCGUAAAGCGCACGUAGGCGGAUUGUUAAGUCAGGGGUGAAAUUCCGGAGCUCAACUCCGGAACUGCCUUUGAUACUGGCAAUCUUGAGGCUGGAAGAGGUUAGUGGAAUUCCCAGUGUAGAGGUGAAAUUCGUAGAUAUUGGGAAGAACACCGGUGGCGAAGGCGGCAUCCUGGACCGGCAUUGACGCUGAGGCGCGAAAGCCAGGGGAGCAAACGGG
rnacentral:rRNA from 1 species